rnacentral:rRNA from 1 species
GACGAACGCUGGCGGCGUGCUCAACACAUGCAAGUCGAACGGAAAGGCCUUUUCGGAGGUACUCGAGUGGCGAGCGGGUGAGUAACACGUGGGUGAUCUGCCCUGCACUCUGGUAUAAGCCUGAGAAACUGGGUCUAAUACCGGCUAGGACCGCACUUUAGUGUGUGUGGUGGAAAGCUUUUUCGGUGUAGGGUGAGCCCGCGGCCUAUCAGCCUGGUGGUGGGGUAAUGGCCUUCCAAGGCGGCGACGGGUAGCCGGACUGAGAGGUUGGUCGGCCACAAUGGGACUGAGAGACGGGCCAGACUCCUACGGGAGGCAGCAAUGGGGAAUAUUGCACAAUGGGCGGAAGCCUGAUGCGGCGACGCCGCGGGGGGGAUGACGGCCUUCGGGUUGUAAAAUCCUUUCGCCAGGGACGAAGCGUUUUGUGACGGUAACUGGUAAAGAAGCACCGGCUAACUACGUG